rnacentral:sRNA from 1 species
GGGCGGAGCGGCAGGGAUGCCGCGCAGAGGACGGCUGCGCCAGGGAAGGCGCAUCCGGCCGGCCCGUCA